rnacentral:rRNA from 1 species
GGCUCAGGAUGAACGCUAGCUACAGGCUUAACACAUGCAAGUCGAGGGGAAACGAUAGAGAAAGCUUGCUUUUUCUAGGCGUCGACCGGCGCACGGGUGAGUAACGCGUAUCCAACCUGCCCAUCACUUGGGGAUAACCUUGCGAAAGUAAGGCUAAUACCCAAUGACGUCUCUAGAAGACAUCUGAAAGAGAUUAAAGAUUUAUCGGUGAUGGAUGGGGAUGCGUCUGAUUAGCUUGUUGGCGGGGUAACGGCCCACCAAGGCGACGAUCAGUAGGGGUUCUGAGAGGAAGGUCCCCCACAUUGGAACUGAGACACGGUCCAAACUCCUACGGGAGGCAGCAGUGAGGAAUAUUGGUCAAUGGGCGAGAGCCUGAACCAGCCAAGUAGCGUGCAGGAUGACGGCCCUAUGGGUUGUAAACUGCUUUUAUAAGGGAAUAAAGUGAGUCUCGUGAGACUUUUUGCAUGUACCUUAUGAAUAAGGACCGGCUAAUUCCGUGCCAGCAGCCGCGGUAAUACGGAAGGUCCGGGCGUUAUCCGGAUUUAUUGGGUUUAAAGGGAGCGUAGGCCGGAGAUUAAGCGUGUUGUGAAAUGUAGACGCUCAACGUCUGCACUGCAGCGCGAACUGGUUUCCUUGAGUACGCACAAAGUGGGCGGAAUUCGUGGUGUAGCGGUGAAAUGCUUAGAUAUCACGAAGAACUCCGAUUGCGAAGGCAGCUCACUGGAGCGCAACUGACGCUGAAGCUCGAAAGUGCGGGUAUCGAACAGGAUUAGAUACCCUGGUAGUCCGCACGGUAAACGAUGGAUGCCCGCUGUUGGUCUGAAUAGGUCAGCGGCCAAGCGAAAGCAUUAAGCAUCCCACCUGGGGAGUACGCCGGCAACGGUGAAACUCAAAGGAAUUGACGGA